GGAUCAACAUGUCGGUCGUGCCUCCGGUACGUACUGGUAUCGUUGAUUUCUACCUUCUGACGAACCAUGAUGUCAUUAAUUUGGUGUCAUGGGGAAUCAGGACUGUUACUUUGAAAAAAUUAGAGUGUUUAAAGCAGGCACACGCUUGAAUACAUUAGCAUGGAAUAAUGAAAUAGGACGUUUGACCCUAUUUUGUUGGUUUCUAGGAUCGACGUA
rnacentral:rRNA from 1 species